rnacentral:rRNA from 1 species
AGCGGCAGCGCGGGGCAACCUGGCGGCGAGUGGCGAACGGGUGAGUAAUAUAUCGGAACGUACCCAAGAGUGGGGGAUAACGUAGCGAAAGUUACGCUAAUACCGCAUACGAUCUAUGGAUGAAAGUGGGGGAUCGCAAGACCUCAUGCUCCUGGAGCGGCCGAUAUCUGAUUAGCUAGUUGGUGAGGUAAAGGCUCACCAAGGCGACGAUCAGUAGCUGGUCUGAGAGGACGACCAGCCACACUGGAACUGAGACACGGUCCAGACUCCUACGGGAGGCAGCAGUGGGGAAUUUUGGACAAUGGGCGCAAGCCUGAUCCAGCAAUGCCGCGUGAGUGAAGAAGGCCUUCGGGUUGUAAAGCUCUUUUGUCAGGGAAGAAACGGUUGGGGCUAAUAUCCUCGGCUAAUGACGGUACCUGAAGAAUAAGCACCGGCUAACUACGUGCCAGCAGCCGCGGUAAUACGUAGGGUGCAAGCGUUAAUCGGAAUUACUGGGCGUAAAGCGUGCGCAGGCGGUUUUGUAAGUCUGUCGUGAAAGCCCCGGGCUCAACCUGGGAAUUGCGAUGGAGACUGCAAGGCUUGAAUCUGGCAGAGGGGGGUAGAAUUCCACGUGUAGCAGUGAAAUGCGUAGAGAUGUGGAGGAACACCGAUGGCGAAGGCAGCCCCCUGGGUCAAGAUUGACGCUCAUGCACGAAAGCGUGGGGAGCAAACAGGAUUAGAUACCCUGGUAGUCCACGCCCUAAACGAUGUCUACUAGUUGUCGGGUCUUAAUUGACUUGGUAACGCAGCUAACGCGUGAAGUAGACCGCCUGGGGAGUACGGUCGCAAGAUUAAAACUCAAAGGAAUUGAC